rnacentral:lncRNA from 1 species
UGUCUUUGUGUCUUCAGUGUGAGAUCAGGAUCAUGUGUGUCCAGCUCUGUGUCUCUAAAGAGUGACCGGUCAAAAGAGGGUAUAUUACCAGACCUCAGAGAGAAAACGGCAUCAUCUGACAAAAGUGUGGGAUCAGGCUCAUGUGUGUCCAGCUCUGUGUCUCUGAAGAGUGACUGUUCAAAGGAGGGUAUACUACCAGACCUUAGAGAGGAAACACCAUCAUCUGCCAACAGUGUUGAAAAUGAGUUACCAGAUUCAGAAGGCAAGACUCACAGGAGCCACAAGAGUUUUACAGACAAUCUCCAGUGGAUCUUCCAGGUGGGGAACACAUAGAUAAGACUUCACAUGUGUAGUUUUUCAUUCGUGUGUAUUUGAUUAUUAG